rnacentral:rRNA from 1 species
UACGUAGGGUGCAAGCGUUGUCCGGAAUUAUUGGGCGUAAAGAGCUCGUAGGCGGUCGUUCAAGUCGCGUGUGAAAGCCCCCGGCUCAACUGGGGAGGGUCACGCGAUACUGAUCGACUCGAAGGCAGGAGAGGGUAGUGGAAUUCCCGGUGUAGUGGUGAAAUGCGUAGAUAUCGGGAGGAACACCAGUGGCGAAGGCGACUACCUGGCCUGUUCUUGACGCUGAGGCGCGAAAGCUAGGGGAGCAAACGGG